CUGUGAAAUUGUUAACAUAUGAAAUGUGCACAUAAGCCCAGAGAACUCCAGGGAACCAAAACUAAGAACGAAACAAGCUUUGUGAGGUGAAAGUGGUGAUGCUGACCCAUGCGCGUGCGGAGGAUAGGGUUCUAGAGGCCAGCUACUCUUGGCUCUUUGUCACCCUUGAGUUGUUGGGGACUCUGGGCAGAUGGGAAGCUGGUUACCUGUCAUCUCAUCCUUCUUACCCGACCAGGCAGGAGAGCACGUGAUACUCAGAGGUGAAACUUUAACUCGUGCUUCUUCCUUCAUCUUAGGGGGGCACACCUUGCAAUCCAAAUUUCUAGCUCUUGGUCCACAGCACUUACCAAAUGGACACCAACAAUUCAGAAUGUCUCACUGUCCUGUUGCUUGAGAUGAGACCCUCUAUGGAAAUUCACUCUCCUGCUUGUUUAGGAGCUAUAGGCCAGUUGGAAGUUAUGAAGAGGAAAAUAAGAGGCCUGAAUACUAAAAAAAAAAUAAAAAAUAAAAAUCCAUUUCUGUGUUACCUGAGAGAAGAAAAAUGAUAAAUGUCUAUAAACACACAAGAUAUCCAAAAAUUUGUAUAUGAAAAUAAAUAGUAGUCAAUUCA